CCCCCCGCCGCCGCACACGCAUGUCCCCGCCGCUCCCCUCGCUCGGCCAGCCGCAGCACGGCGGGGGGAAGCCGCUGCCGGAGAGCUGGCACGGCUCGGCUGGGCUCGGCUCGGCUCGGCACAGCCCUGACAAUGCACACUUGCAUGAAAUCAGAGACUCAGAAGGCUUGUCACACCAAUAUAUCUACAGGGAUAUCAUGAGUUCCUCUGAAGAAGGAACUCCUAACAAUUUUGCUUUGGAAAAGCACAAGUCAUAAGAAUGAUUUAGAGUCAUCCUAUAAGAAUGAAUUAAUUCAGUGCUGCUAAGAAACACUGUACUUCAUUGUCUGCUCAGAAGUGGCAAUGUCACUGUUAUCCCAUUUCAGCAACACCAGAUUCUGAGAAACUCUCAGCUGUAAGGUGCAAUGAAACAGCAAGGCUAAUAACAGCUUUUCAAAUCUGAAACAUUACUGUUGCCAUCAGAAAUUAUUUCUGAAAUAUAAAAUAAAAAAUAAUAAAAAAGACAAAAUGAAAAUAAGUAUUUUCUAGUACUGUAUUAGUGGUACUUAGUCUCUUUUUCAUUUGGUAAAUAAAAAGUGACAUGCAAUUUGUUAAGCAAGCAGUCCAAAGCUUAGUAGAUGAACAACAGUCAGAAAACUGCUUAGUGUAUAUUUCAAAGAAACUGCUAAAGCCAAAACUUGCCUCCAUUAUUUAUUAUAACCAGGCACGUUGUCAGACCCAACUGAAUCUUUCUGUAAAAUGUCACACUUUGUUUCCCUUGUGUAAAUAAUUCUAAUUAAGUAAAUGAUUUAAUGGUCAGACCCUAAAUGUACUUAAUUCAAAACAACACAAGCAUUUAAAGAGAAGAAUGACAUACAUGAUGCUACACAUAUGGUGGAUGAUAUUAAAAAAAGCUGUAGAAACAAGCAGAGAAUCUUAUCUGUCCUCAUACUGAAUGAACAUAGAUACUGUCUUUUGUACCAAUUUGCUGGAAUAAAGAUUCAGUAGGCAUUGAAUAAAAGAGGAACAUUUAGUAUUUUAAUAUAAAUAUUUUAGCCACAUAUUUGAAAUUAAUUGCCUAAACUGAAUUUUGUGGCUUUUUUUUUGUUUGUUUUCUUUUUGUUUGUUUUUCUGAAAGGCUUGUUUUUUUCACUAACACCUUUUAGGAGUAUGCUGUGAUCUUAGGAUAAAAUUUAGCAAAAAUUCCACUGGAAUUACUUGUCUCCAUAGAAAAUUCUUCCAGAAGCUGAGCUCUAAACAGAUACAUUUGUUGCAGAUCAACAUAAAAUGAAAUGAAAAUCCUAGUUCAAACAAUUCAAGUACUACUAGUGACUCUCGAAGAAAUAAUUUAAUUAUCCAUUUAGAUAGGUAACAUAAUUAUCGUCUUGUACAACAGGAAUGUACAGAGAUAAAGACCUGAAGACUAGAAAUGAGUUAUGGACCUCCCUUUAUAAUAUGUGAUGCUAUAAUAUGUUUUGCUUUUGUGAUAUGCAGUAAAGGUGGAGAGACCUACAGACUAGCCAGUUCUUUACAUCUAACACUGAAGAAGCAUUUAAGGCAUUGAAUCAAACAGAGUCAGAGGUAUAAAACAUUUUAUGCAAUUAGAGAUAUAUUUUUUAAAAGGCUGCAAGAUUUUCCCAAGGUGAGGCAACAGAUGCUAGUGUGGUUUUUUUUUUGUUUUUUUUUUUUUGUUUUUUUUUCCUAAUUUUGAAUGUUUUCUG